rnacentral:rRNA from 1 species
UACGUCGGGGGCGAGCGUUGUCCGGAGUUACUGGGCGUAAAGGGCGCGCAGGCGGUCUGGCAAGUUUGGAGUGACAGUGUUCGGCUUAACUGAGCAAGGCCUUCGAAAACUGCUAGACUUGAGCACUCAAGAGGGACAUAGAAUUCCGGGUGGAGUGGUGAAAUGCGUAGAUAUCCGGAGGAAUACCAAAGGCGAAGGCAGUGUCCUGGGGAGUGUCUGACGCUCAGGCGCGAAAGCUAGGGGAGCGAACAGG